rnacentral:piRNA from 1 species
GCUGAGGUGUUGUUUAUCCCAUGGUGGGUC